GGAUGUGAGGGCGAUCUGGCUGUGACAUCUGUCACCCCCUUGAUCGCCAGGGUUGAUUCGGCUGAUGUGCCUGGCUAGGCGGGUGUCCCCUUCCUCCCUCACCACUCCACGUGUGUCCCUCCCCAAGCUGCACGCUCGGUCGAAGAGGGCGACCACCCCUGAUAGAGGAGGACCGUUCCUAGGUCAAGGGUAUACGAGUAGCUGCGCUCCCCUGCUAGAACCUCCAAACAAGCUCUCAAAUCUUUUUAAAUCAUUUAGCUGUGCCAUUUGUUCUUGAUUCUCAAUGUAGAGCUAAAAGCCCCUAACAAUACCCAUGCCACAGCCUGAAUGCUAGGCUGCCUU
rfam:Heterocephalus glaber contig81373, whole genome shotgun sequence.